rnacentral:rRNA from 1 species
GGGCCCGCACAAGCGGUGGAGCAUGUGGUUCAAUUCGACGCAACGCGAAGAACCUUACCUGGGCUCGAACGGCUGGUCAACGGAGGUGGAAACAUCUUUACCCCGCAAGGGGGUCCAGUCGAGGUGCUGCAUGGCUGUCGUCAGCUCGUGUCGUGAGAUGUUGGGUUAAGUCCCGCAACGAGCGCAACCCUUGUCCUGUGUUGCCAUCAUUCAGUUGGGAACUCGCAGGAGACCGCCAGCGAUAAGCUGGAGGAAGGUGGGGAUGACGUCAAGUCCUCAUGGCCUUUAUGUCCAGGGCUACACACGUGCUACAAUGGCCGGUACAAAGCGCAGCAAACCCGCAAGGGGGAGCCAAUCGCAAAAAACCGGUCUCAGUUCGGAUUGCAGGCUGCAACUCGCCUGCAUGAAGCUGGAAUCGCUAGUAAUGGCAGAUCAGCACGCUGCCGUGAAUACGUUCCCGGGCCUU